rnacentral:rRNA from 1 species
AGCAGCCGCGGUAAUUCCAGCUCCAAUAGCGUAUAUUAAAGUUGUUGCAGUUAAAAAGCUCGUAGUUGAAUUUUAGGCCUGGCCAGGCGGUCCGUCUUUGGCGAGUACUGUUCUGUGUCGGGUCUUCCUUCUGGUGAACCUGUAUGUCCUUUAUUGGGUGUGCUGGGGAGCCAGGACCAUUACCUUGAAAAAAUUAGAGUGUUUAAAGCGGGCUAUUGCUUGAAUAGAUUAGCAUGGAAUAAUAGAAUAGGACGUUGUGGUUCUAUUUUGUUGGUUUCUAGGACCACCGUAAUGAUUAAUAGGGAUAGUUGGGGGCAUUAGUAUUCAAUUGUCAGAGGUGAAAUUCUUGGAUUUAUUGAAGACUAACUACUGCGAAAGCAUUUGCCAAGGAUGUUUUCAUUAAUCAAGAACGAAAGUUAGGGGAUCGAAGACGAUCAGAUACCGUCGUAG